AUGCCAGCCAGCCAGGCAGCAGGAUCACCACUCACUCACGCACGCCACUCAGCCAGCCAGCAGGAACACCGCUCACCUACACAUGCCAGCCAGCCAGCCAGCCGGAGCAGAAAUCACUCACCCACGCCAGCCAUCGAGCCAGCCGGAGCAGAAAUCUCUCACCCACGCCAGCCAUUGAGCCAGCCGGUGCGCCACUCACCUAUGCAUACACGCCAGCCAGCCAGCCAGCCGGAGCAACUCUCACCCACGCACGCCACCCACGCCAGCCAGCCGGACCACCACUCACGCACCCACGCCACACAGCCAGCCAGCCAGAGAACCACUCACUUAAACACCCACGCCAGCCAAACAGCCAGCUGGAGCACCACUCACCCACCCACACACGCCAGCCAGAAUGACACAAGGACCACAGCUCACCCACCCACACCAGCCAGCCAGCCAGCCGGAGCACCACUCACCCACACUCCAGCCAGCCAGGCAGCUGGAGCACCACUCACUCACCCACGCACGCCAGCAGCCAGCCGGAGCACCACUCACCCACGCACGCCAGCCAGCCAGCCAGCCGGAGCUCCACUCACCCACGCACGCCAGCCAGCCAGCCAGCUGGAGCACCACUCACCCACCCACGCACGCCAGCCAGCGAGCCGCAGCACCACUCACCCACGCACACCAACCAAGACAGACAGACGGUGCACCACUCACCCAUCCACGCCCCCCAGCCUGCCAGCCAGAGCACAGCUCACCCACCCACACCAGCCAGCCAGCCAGCAGGAGCACCACUCAACCAUGCAUGCCAGCCAGCCAGCCGGAGCACCAAUCACCCACGUACGCCAGCCAGCCAGCGAGCCGGAGCAACUCUCACCCACGCACGCCACCCACGCCAGCCAGCCGGAACACCACUCACGCACCCACGCCACACAGCCAGCCAGCCGGAGAACCACUCACUUAAACACCCACGCCAGCCAGCCAGCCAGCUGGAGCACCACUCACCCACUCAUGCACGCCAGCCAGAAUGCCACAAGGACCACAGCUCACCCACCCAGCCACCCAGCCAGCCAGCCGGAGCACCACUCACCCACACACGCCACCCAGCCAGCCGGAGCACAACUCACCUACGCACCCACGCCAGCCAGACUGCCACAAGGAGCACAACUCACCCACCCACGGCAGCCAGCCAGAGCAGCACUCACUCACCCAUGCCAGGCAUCGAGCCAGCCGGAGCACCACUCACCCACGCACACCACCCACGCCAGCCAGCCGGAGCGCCACUCACCCACCCAUGCCACCCAGCCAGCCAGCCGGAGCACCACUCACCUACACACCCACGCCAGCAAGCCAGCCGGAGCACCACUCACCCAUGCACGCCAGUCAGCCAGCCAGGAGGUGCACCUCUCACCAACCCUCGCACGCCAGCCAGACUGCCAAAAGGACCACCACUCACCCACCCACGCACGCCAGCCAGCCAGCCGGAGCACCACUCACCCACACACGCCAGCCACCCAGCCAGCCUGUGCACCACUCACCCACACACGCACACCAGCGAUACAGCCGGAGUACCACUCACCCACCCACGCCAACCAGCCAGCAGGAGCACAACUCACCUACGCACCCAUGCCAGCCAGACGGCCGGCCAGAGCACCACUCACCCACACACGCCAGACAGCCAGGAGGAGCAUCACUCACCCACCCACGCACGCUAGCCAGCCGGAGCACCACUCACCCACCCACGCACGCCAGCCAGCCAGCCGGAGCACCACUCAACCACACACGCCAUCCAGCCAGCCAGCCGGAGCACCACUCACCCUCCCACGCCAGCCAACGAGCCGGAGCACAACUCACCCACCCACGCAAGCCAGCAACCUGGAGCACCACUCAGCCAUGCACGCCAGUCAGCCAGCAAGCCAGAGCACCACUCACCCACCCACGCACGCCAGCCAGCGAGCCAGAGCGCAUCUCAGCUACGCACACACGCCAGCCUGCCAGCUGGAGCACCACUCAACCACCCACGCAAGCCAGCCAUCCAGCCGGAGCACAACUCACCUACGUACACAUGCCAGCCAGCCAGACGGAGUACCUCUCACUCACUCACGCCAGCCGUCGAUCCAGACGGAGCACCACUCACCUAUGCACACACGCCAGCCAGCCAGCCACGGGAGCACCUCUCACCUACACACGCACUCCAGCCAGCCUGCCACAAGGAGCACCACUCACCCACGCACGCCACCAAAGACAGUCAGCUGGUGCACCACUCACCCACCCACACCACCCAGCCAGUCAGCCAGAGCGCCACUCACCCACCCACGCACGCCAGCCAGACUGCCACAAGGAGCACCACUCACCCACCCACGCAUGCCAGCCGGAACACCACUCGCCCACCCAUGCACGCCAGCCAGCCAGCCCAAGCACCACUCACCCACCCUCGCACGCCAGCCAGCCAGCCGAAGCACCACUCACUCACCCACGCACUCCAGC
ensembl:lncRNA